rnacentral:rRNA from 1 species
AUGCAAAAAGACGGUGCUGCUGCUGCAGAAUCAAUGGAAACAGAUGCGCACUCAAGUCGUGGGAGAGGGGCUCCAGGCAAUACACAAGUACCUGCAGCAGUAGCAACUGAGAGUGAUGCUCAUACCCUUGAUGGCACAGGUGCUGCAGGUGAUAUUGGUGGGACUGUUGGUAAUGGUUUGGGUACUGAAAAUGAUGAUGAAGCUUGGUCACAACCCAUGAAGCCGUAUGUGGGCAUGAGGUUUGACACUUUCGAAGAUGCCAAGGAGCACUACAAUGCAUAUUCCUUGCAGAUGUGUUUUUCAGUCAAAAUGAAUACUUCAAGGAAGGAUAUGAAAACUGGGGAGUUGGCAACAGUUUGUUUGCAACAAGUUUCGAAAGCCUGA